CUUUCGGGGUACACGAGCGGCGAACGGGUGAGUAACACGUGGGUGAUCUGCCCUGCACUCUGGGAUAAGCUUGGGAAACUGGGUCUAAUACCGGAUAUGACCACAGCGCGCAUGUGUUGUGGUGGAAAGAUUUAUCGGUGCAGGAUGGGCCCGCGGCCUAUCAGCUUGUUGGUGGGGUAAUGGCCUACCAAGGCGACGACGGGUAGCCGACCUGAGAGGGUGACCGGCCACACUGGGACUGAGACACGGCCCAGACUCCUACGGGAGGCAGCAGUGGGGAAUAUUGCACAAUGGGCGGAAGCCUGAUGCAGCGACGCCGCGUGAGGGAUGAAGGCCUUCGGGUUGUAAACCUCUUUCAGCAGGGACGAAGCGUGAGUGACGGUACCUGCAGAAGAAGCACCGGCUAACUACGUGCCAGCAGCCGCGGUAAUACGGAGG
rnacentral:rRNA from 1 species